GACGAACGCUGGCGGCGCGCUUAACACAUGCAAGUCGAACGGAAAGGCCUGCUUUCCCUUGUGGAUUGCGGGUACUCGAGUGGCGAACGGGCGAGUAACACGUGAGUGAUCUGCCCCCAACUUGGGUAUAAGCCUGGGAAACUGGGUCUAAUUCCCGAUAGGACUGCAGGGUGGUGCCUGUGGUGGAAAACGAUUUUCUAGUGGUUGGGGAUGAGCUCGCGGCCUAUCAGCUUGUUGGUGGGGUAAUGGCCUACCAAGGCGGCGACGGGUAGCCGGUCUGAGAGGGUGGACGGCCACAUUGGGACUGAGAUACGGCCCAGACUCCUACGGGAGGCAGCAGUGGGGAAUAUUGCACAAUGGGCGGAAGCCUGAUGCAGCGACGCCGCAUGGGGGAUGACGGCCUUCGGGUUGUAAACUCCUUUCGACCGCGAGGAAGCCGCCUGGUUGGAAGGGUGGUGACGGUAGUGGUAGAAGAAGCACCGGCUAACUACGUG
rnacentral:rRNA from 1 species